UGCCCGAAGGGUGACGAUGCGACGCCGCGUGAGCGAAGAAGGCCCUAGGGUUGUAAAGCUCUGUCAGGGGUUAAGAAAUGUAGAUAGGUUAAUACCCUGUUUAUUUGACAAAAGCCCCAAAGGAAGCCACGGCUAACUCUGUGCCAGCAGCCGCGGUAAUACAGAGGUGGCAAGCGUUGUUCGGUAUUAUUGGGCGUAAAGAGCACGUAGGUGGUUUUGUAAGUCAGAUGUGAAAGCCUUCUGUUCAAAGGAAGAACGGCAUCUGAAACUGCAAAUCUUGAGUGUAGGAGGGGAGAGUGGAACUUCUGGUGGAGCGGUGAAAUGCGUAGAUAUCAGAAGGAACGUCGGCGGCGAAAGCGACUCUCUGGCCUAUUACUGACACUGAGUGUGCGAAAGUUAGGGGAGCAAACGGGAUUAGAUACCCCGGUAGUCCUAACCGUAAACGAUGGGCACUAAGUAGAGGGGU
rnacentral:rRNA from 1 species